AGCGGAGGAAAAGAAACUAACAAGGAUUCCCCUAGUAACGGCGAGUGAAGCGGGAAGAGCUCAAAUUUGAAAUCUGGCAGUCUUCGAUUGUCCGAGUUGUAAUCUAUAGAGGCGUUUUCCGUGCCGGACCGUGUCCAAGUCUCCUGGAAAGGAGUAUCAAAGAGGGUGAUAAUCCCGUACUUAACACGACCACCGGUGCUCUGUGAUACGUCUUCUACGAGUCGAGUUGUUUGGGAAUGCAGCUCAAAAUGGGUGGUGAAUUCCAUCUAAAGCUAAAUAUUGGCGAGAGACCGAUAGCGAACAAGUACCGUGAGGGAAAGAUGAAAAGCACUUUGGAAAGAGAGUUAAACAGUACGUGAAAUUGUUGAAAGGGAAACGAUUGAAGUCAGUCGUGUUCUUUGGAUUCAGCCAGUUCUGCUGGUCUACUUCCUUGGAACGGGUCAACAUCAGUUUUGUCCGGUGGAUAAAGGUAGUAGGAAUGUGACUUCUCCGGAAGUGUUAUAGCCUAUUAUCACAUACACUGGGUGAGACUGAGGACUGCAGCUCGCCUUUAUGGCCGGCCUUCGGGCACGUUCGAGCUUAGGAUGUUGACAUAAUGGCUUUAAACGACCCGUCUU
rnacentral:rRNA from 1 species